UGGUGGGCAGUUUGACUGGGGCGGUCUCCUCCUAAAGAGUAACGGAGGAGUACGAAGGUGCGCUCAGACCGGUCGGAAAUCGGUCGCAGAGUAUAAAGGCAAAAGCGCGCUUGACUGCGAGACAGACACGUCGAGCAGGUACGAAAGUAGGUCUUAGUGAUCCGGUGGUUCUGUAUGGAAGGGCCAUCGCUCAACGGAUAAAAGGUACUCCGGGGAUAACAGGCUGAUACCGCCCAAGAGUUCAUAUCGACGGCGGUGUUUGGCACCUCGAUGUCGGCUCAUCACAUCCUGGGGCUGAAGCCGGUCCCAAGGGUAUGGCUGUUCGCCAUUUAAAGUGGUACGCGAGCUGGGUUUAGAACGUCGUGAGACAGUUCGGUCCCUAUCUGCCGUGGACGUUUGAGAUUUGAGAGGGGCUGCUCCUAGUACGAGAGGACCGGAGUGGACGAACCUCUGGUGUUCCGGUUGUCACGCCAGUGGCAUUGCCGGGUAGCUAUGUUCGGAAAAGAUAACCGCUGAAAGCAUCUAAGCGGGAAACUUGCCUCAAGAUGAGAUCUCACUGGG
rnacentral:rRNA from 1 species